rnacentral:rRNA from 1 species
UACGGAGGGAGCUAGCGUUAUUCGGAAUUACUGGGCGUAAAGCGCACGUAGGCGGCUUUGUAAGUUAGAGGUGAAAGCCUGGAGCUCAACUCCAGAAUUGCCUUUAAGACUGCAUCGCUUGAAUCGCGGAGAGGUGAGUGGAAUUCCGAGUGUAGAGGUGAAAUUCGUAGAUAUUCGGAAGAACACCAGUGGCGAAGGCGGCUCACUGGACGCGUAUUGACGCUGAGGUGCGAAAGCGUGGGGGAGCAAACAGGG